GUGCCAGCCGCGCGGUAAUACCGGCAGCUCGAGUGAUGUCCAAUAUUAUUGGGCCUAAAGCGUCCGUAGCUGGCCGCGCAAGUCCGUCGGGAAAUCCACCUGCCCAACAGGUGGGCGUCCGGCGGAAACUGCACGGCUUGGGACCGGAAGACUCGAGAGGUACGUCCGGGGUAGGAGUGAAAUCCCGUAAUCCCGAACGGACCACCGAUGGCGAAAGCAUCUCGAGAAAACGGAUCCGACAGUGAGGGACGAAAGCUAGGGUCUCGAACCGGAUUAGAUACCCUAGUAGUCC
rnacentral:rRNA from 1 species